GCUGGGUGUGGUGGUGUGCACCUAUAGUCCCAGCUACUUGGGAGGCUGAGGCAGGAGGAUUGCUUGAGCCUAGGAUUUUGGAGGCUGCAGUGAGCUAUGAUGGCACCACUGUACUCCAGCCUGGGUGACAGAGUGAGACUCUGUCUCAA
ensembl:misc_RNA Metazoa_SRP Metazoan signal recognition particle RNA